CACCAAAUCCAUUACCGUCUUGUCAUUUCAUCUAUCUUUCAUUCUUCAAGAUGUUUUCAAUUCAUCCAAGGGCCUGCUUUAGUCAAUCUGUUACCAACCCUUCUCAGACUCCCCUAAUUUCGUUUUCUCCCCUUUCCUUGUUCAAUCUAGUUCUCUCGCUUUUUCACUUUCCGCUUGUUUUUCUACAGUUUCAGGGACACUUCUGACCAGGUAAACUCCUUUAUUUCUCUUCAACGUUUUAUUUGCUAAGAUAUGCGCGAGACUAUUUGCUAAUCUUGGGAUAUGUUCAAAUCUGCAAUCCUUUAAGUUUAACAGUAGCUGAUGAAUGUCAUGGAUAUAUGCACUUACCAAUGAUUUGUCUGGGCUUUUUGUCUUGCAAUUUCUUAUUAUUGAUAAAAAGUAUCCUUCAAUAAUAACUUUUUCCCAUUGCAUGUCAAUGCCGAUUUGGAGUGCUUUCUGACAUGCGAUUGCCUCCGCCGCAAAGGCUGAUGUAACCCGUUGAUGGAUCUCCGAGCAUGAUAGGAGAACUGUACCCUCACUGUCUCUGGCCACUAUUCCCACAGCCGAUUUAUUUUGUCUAUCGUCAUAUGUUGCGUCGAAAUUGAUCUUAACAACCCGGUCAUGUGGCUUUUUCCAUUUGUUAACAAUAGCCCAUAAUGCACAACAAAAAAUCCUACACUGUGAUGCCGAGCUCUAUGAAAAUACCCAGGAUAUUCACGGAAGAGAUGAUCCAUAUUCUCUGUUCCUGAGCCACACCGGGGACAAGCUAUUGUGUUCAUUAGCCUUUUAAGUAGCAUAUUAACUCGUGUAGCUAGGAAAUUCCAUGAUAUCUUCCACACUGUAAUUUUUAUCUUGGAAGGAAGAUUCAGAAGCCAUAAUUUUUUUUGUAAAAGUCCUUGUAGUCGACUUGUAAAGCAUAAGCUCUACGAUCAUCUUUGAUGCCUUGUAAUAGUUUGUAGGCACUACGUACUGUGUACUCGCCCGACGCUUCAGCACUCCAGACUUGGAAAUCUUCAUGUGGUUCUUCAGCCAGCGAAAUACUAAUAAUCUUCUCGGCAACCUCCUCCGGAAAGGUAUUAUCUGAGUGCAAUUACUUAGCCCAUGCCCCAAUCUUCCGCAUCCAAAACAGAACAUCGGCAAAUUUUCAUAUUUAAAAGGGACCCACACUUUACUAACAUCAUCAGUAGAGACAAAAAUACCUCUUCGAAGUGGUCUCUGAACAUCCAAGUUAAUUCUAAGCCGACAGAAGUCUUCAUUAAUUUCAGAUCUGAGAACCCCACCAAUGUGGCACCAAUUGAACACAAUAUAACUUUCUUAUCAAACUCUGGAAAACACGAGUCAAUUUUCAUCCAAAACGUGAUGAAAUAAGCCUGAUUUGAUCUUUUUCCACCGCCUGACAUAAUCUAUCAAAUAGGAUAAUACUUUUUCGAAAAAGCCAAGGUCUCCCCUCCAAAAUCAUCUCCAGAUCUUCUUCCAACUCAAAAACUAUCAAAAAUAAGUUUUGUCCCACCAUCUGAAUCUCAAACUUUUUCCUUGUCUUCCAUAUGCCUUUCAUAUGCGCCCUAAAACUUUCUGGGUUGUAUAGUUUUUCUGUCCAGACUGUACAUACAAUGUAGGUUUAGAACUUGGUACUACCAUCGAACCCUUGACUGAUAACAGAACUAGUUCUUCUGUAAGAAGAGAGAUCUCAUCCCUCCCCUCUCGAACGUCACCACCGCUUUCCUCCAUCCCAAGCCGCAACAGUUACUGCUUUCUCUAAGACUUUUAAGCAAAACACUCUUGGGAGCAGAGAGAG